UACGGAGGGAGCGAACGUUGUUCGGAUUUACUGGGCGUAAAGGGUGUGUAGGCGGUCUUGCAAGUCAGGGGUGAAAUCUCUCGGCUCAACCGAGAAACUGCCUUUGAGACUGCAGGGCUUGAGGGCGUGAGAGGAGACUGGAAUUCCUAGUGUAGCGGUGAAAUGCAUAGAUAUUAGGAGGAACACCAGUGGCGAAGGCGAGUCUCUGGCACGCAUCUGACGCUGAAACACGAAAGCCAGGGGAGCGAACGGG
rnacentral:rRNA from 1 species